GACGAACGCUGGCGGCGUGCUUAACACAUGCAAGUCGAACGGAAAGGCCCUGCUUUUGUGGGGUGCUCGAGUGGCGAACGGGUGAGUAACACGUGAGUAACCUGCCCUUGACUUUGGGAUAACUUCAGGAAACUGGGGCUAAUACCGGAUAGGAGCUCCUGCUGCAUGGUGGGGGUUGGAAAGUUUCGGCGGUUGGGGAUGGACUCGCGGCUUAUCAGCUUGUUGGUGGGGUAGUGGCUUACCAAGGCUUUGGCGGGUAGCCGGCCUGAGAGGGUGACCGGCCACAUUGGGACUGAGAUACGGCCCAGACUCCUACGGGAGGCAGCAGUGGGGAAUAUUGCACAAUGGGCGGAAGCCUGAUGCAGCAACGCCGCGUGCGGGAUGACGGCCUUCGGGUUGUAAACCGCUUUCGCCUAUGACGAAGCGUGAGUGACGGUAAUGGGUAAAGAAGCACCGGCUAACUACGUG
rnacentral:rRNA from 1 species